AAUAAAGUGCCUGAUUAAAGGAAUAUUUUGAUGUAAUAUAUAAAGUAGAUCUUCUACCUUUAUUA
rnacentral:tRNA from 1 species